GCCGAGAUAGCUCAGAGGUAGAGCAGCUGAUUCGUAAUCAGCAGGUCGUGGGUUCAACUCCCAUUCUCGGCU
rnacentral:tRNA from 1 species